AGUUCUUUAACUUAAUUGGUCAAAGUAUGAAUUUGAUAGAUUCAAAAUCUUGGUUCAAUUCCAAGAAGAACUA
rnacentral:tRNA from 1 species